UUUAUGUGUAAUUUUACAGGACUUACAUUUUAACAGGUAAUGAUGUCCAGUUAUUUCUCAAAAAUACGAAGUAACAAUGGGCAAGCACCAGCUAUAAUAAUAUAGCAGGGAUUCAAGCAAUUCGUUUCACAAUUCCCUAAUGGGGAUACAAAGUUAAAUAAUGCAUUUUUACAAAUUUUCGAAAUGGCAUUUGUUCCAGGUUGCACCCCACAGCACAACAACCUGAGCCCAACGUCAGUCUGCUCAUCAGGUUAACUUUCACUCCGUUUGUAAUCGGUGCCAUAUUAACCAGUAAACACAAACCCAAUAAUAAACAAACACAGACCGGAAGUUAAUUUAGGGCCAAGUGCAUAACCUUGGCAACGCGCGUGCGUCCGAUGAAAGCGUCUAUAUAGGGAAUAUGGGACGCAGCCAUUGUUAUGGCCGUUCGUAUAUUGAACAUCGCGAGGUAUUGACUUUUUCCACUCAUUACUUAAGGAUUUAGAAGCAACUUUGUUUAUAAAAAUGUCCUAUGUUAUUUCCUAACCACGUUUCCUUGACCUCGAUGGAAAACGUAAUGAGGUCAAGGAAAGAUGUGACGGAUAAUUUAUAAGGACUUAGGAAAAGACAACCGUCGUGCUAAGAGAAUCCGACUGCACUUACACUAGUCUACGUAAUUAUCCGACAGCGGGUGUUAUUGACGUGAUCUGCCGUGGUGAAACUACAAUGUUCCGAAGAUGGACUACAAAAGCGCAUAUUAGGUGCAUGUGCUCUCUCCACCAGCCGGCGCAGCCAACUGCUACGCACCUCCACCAUGAGAAUUCAGCUGACGGCUAAUUCGGCUUACGCCAAGACCGCCCCCUCCCGGGUUUCGGCAUACUCAUAUUGAUUUCACGACCCAAUAGAAAUUUUUACAAAAAAUGCCAUGUCCAAUUUAUUCAUACCCCUUGAAAUUGUCGCAUUUGAAAGUGAAAAUGCAAGCUUCAAUACCUUUCCGAAUGGUCCUGGUAAUUUCUACUAUGUUCUUGAGUAUUCUGAUCAACUAUAAAUUGAGAUCAGCUGAUGCAGUUGUUCUCUAGUUCGUUUCUAGUCAUUUGCAAAUCGUGGCUAAAACUAUGUGAUUUCAUGGUCUGUAUUUUGCCAACUGUGCGUCAACUCUUUCACUCCUUGCAUUUUUUUACUGUUGCUUCAGGCCCUUGCUCCAGGAUGCCUUUUCUGCUUUCUGAGUGCCAUAACAAUCAGACGAGUCUUUUUCUUCACUUGCACUCAAACGGUUAUAAAUUGGUUAUAACAUCCUUGGCUAUGUUUUUAGCAGUUGAGGCUGAGGCUUGGCUAUGCUUAAUCCUUUCUUUAGCAGCGGCAUUGCCAACCAAAAUACGCUGUUAAAUACACUUUGGCACAUACCUUGCAUAAAUACCACCCUGCAAUCCAGGCAGACCACAGCUUGCGCAAUAUAAUAAUCAUAAUAUCUGGUGGAUUAUUAUCAUCAUAUAAAUGAGAUAAAGCCAACAGUAGCAUAACGGAAUGCCAGUACAGCGAUGAAAAUAGGGAAAUUAUAAUUAUAACCGGCCAUUUUACUAUAAAUAUCUAUGACCAAAUAUGUAGGCCUACAUACAACCAACCUGCACGUAGAGAUGUCGCUUUCAAGAUUGAGUGAUGACCGACAAUCCGUUUGUGAAAUAUACUCAUUUGUGACACUUUGGUAACAACACAUACUGUUUACGGAAUUGUUGCUCUGUUUAGUACAUUUUGGCUUGAUCGAUUAUUAUUUUACCCAGUAACUGACAGUAUUAGCUUUCUAACAAUGUAUGACAUGUCUAAUUUGACUUUUGAAAUAGCGAUUUAUAGUCCGGCAUAACCAAAAGUAUUGUCUUAUGCAUUCAACUGCUGCAUUAGCGGUAAAAAGACGAGACGAGCACUUGCCGAGACGUUUUCGCAACGUAACAUUACAUACAGAAAAAGGGGGGGAAGUACAUACAAGAACGAAUGAUUCCACAUUUAAAGCCACUGUAUGACCAAAUGUAUCUAGACACUCCUUGGUCUGGGGCUGUUUUUCAUGGUUUGGGCCCCUUGUUCCAGUAAAAGUGAAUACUAAUACUGCAGAUCACAAUCACAUUCUCGACAGUUACUAACCCUAUCCCUAACCCUAACCCUUUCCCCUUCAGGCAUGAUUAUGCCCCCUGAGCACACAUUUGAGUCCAUACAGAAAUGGUUUUGUCAAGAAUUGUGUGGAAUAACUUGACCUGCCUGCACAGAGCCCUGACCUCAACUCCAUCCAACACCUGUGGGAUUAAUUGGAAAGACAGAUGCAAGGCAGGGGGGCAUCACUCCAGUCAGUGCUCAUCCUCACCAAUUCUCUUCUGGAUAAAAGGAAGAAAAAUGUAAUAAAAGAUUUUAAUGCUUUAUUAGACAAAACGCUAUGGCUAUAUUUUGGACCCCUGUACUGUCAUUCUCACUUGAAAAUGAUGCAAAAUUGAGUUUCUUGAGCCAAAACAGUUGAUUUGUUUGUGUAUUAUUGUAAAUCACAACAAUUUAAAUAUUUUGGAUAGAUUUGGAGACACCAAGGUACACUGGUUGAAGCAAAAAAUUGUGAUUUUGCUUUAUAGAUCUCUAGUAGUUCAGUAGUUCAGAUUUUUGCACACUAGUGUGCAAUGAGUUUAUGAUCCUGGACAUUUCUAAUUUUAAGUGUUUUAUUUUUGGGAUCUCAGUAUUUCAUUUCAAGAUAAAAAAAGAACUUCAUUUUAAGAAUUUUCACCAAGGUAAUCACAUUUGUGCCACUUUAUUUCUCCCUGUAUUGGAUAUAAACUAAUGUUAGUAUAGUAAAUAGUACAAAUGCCUUAUUAGUACAAACUUCAUUUUUGUUGUUUGUUUGUCUAUAUUUGGUUAAAUAUUUUACCAUAAUUUUAAGUAACAUAAUAAAGAUGACACUGUUGAAAA